rnacentral:rRNA from 1 species
AAACUAACAAGGAUUCCCCUAGUAGCGGCGAGCGAAGCGGGAAAAGCUCAAAUUUGUAAUCUGGCGCCUUCGGCGUCCGAGUUGUAAUCUCGAGAAGUGUUUUCCGUGAUAGACCGCAUACAAGUCUCUUGGAACAGAGCGUCAUAGUGGUGAGAACCCAGUACACGAUGCGGAUGCCUAUUACUUUGUGAUACACUUUCGAAGAGUCGAGUUGUUUGGGAAUGCAGCUCAAAUUGGGUGGUAAAUUCCAUCUAAAGCUAAAUAUUGGCGAGAGACCGAUAGCGAACAAGUACCGUGAGGGAAAGAUGAAAAGCACUUUGGAAAGAGAGUUAACAGUACGUGAAAUUGUUGGAAGGGAAACACAUGCAGUGAUACUUGCUAUUCGGGGCAACUCGAUUGGCAGGCCCGCAUCAGUUUUUCGGGGCGGAAAAUCAUAGAGAGAAGGUAGCAGUCUCGGCUGUGUUAUAGCUCUUUAUUGGAUUCGCCCUGGGGGACUGAGGAACGCAGCGUGC